UUUCUGAUAUCACCUAACAUUCUCCUUUGUUGUGCCAAUUGACUAUUCUUUAUACAUUUUUUUCGUGUUGCAUUUCACUUGAUCCUCUUCAAACUGUAAUUUCCAUCAUGGACCUUGUGGCAUGGAUGCAGGCUUUAGUGUUCGUGCUAUCUCUUAUGGUAAGAGCUGCUGCUAACAGAGCCGUCGAGUACGACAGUGAUGAUGAGUACAUCCGACAGCCGCUAAUGAAUCGGCAAGGAGUUCCACCUGUUCUUGGCACUCUCGACCAUCGUCCGAGUAGAAACGACGCCUGGAGCCAACGAAUGAGAGAAAAGGUAAUAUCUGUGCUUUGCAGGAAUUGUCUAUGCAUUUUUAUUGCUGUACCUAAUUCUCCUUUUGUUCUUUGCUCCUUUUGCUUCAAUGAUAGUACGGUCUUAAUACCUUCGAGUUCGCAUACAAACAAUCAAACCCUAGUAGAUAUCAACAAGCCACUGCAUCUCAGGCAGAAGAAAGAGGGAGCCGCUGUAUCAUACUCUGAGCAUCUCAACUUGGCGAGUUCUCAUGCGCAUAAUCCGCUAGUUGGUUUGUCUUGCAACCUGUACAACUUAUGAGAUUUCUCUCUUUAGUCCAAUGUGUAGGCUAAAUUUCUCUUUACUGCAUCCGUUACCUCUGAGAUGAAUAAUAUUUUGCAACAACUAAAUUAAUUCAAUAGCAUGUUUUUACAUGAAAACACAGAACAGUUAUUAACGGAGAAAACUAUAAUAAAAAAAUGCAUUUAAUUACAUUUAUAUAAGAAAAAAUAAAACAUAGUAACAUGACCGAAUUCCUUUUUUUGUUUAACAACAAAUGAGCAAAGGGGAGAGGCUUUUUUUUUUAUUUCUGUUCUAUAAUAUAAUACUACUGCUUGGGCCAUAAUUAUUGUUGCUCUUUUUAAAAAAUGAGAAAUAAUUGUUUAUUACAUUACCACCUACAAAAAUACCUACAAAGAUGCUCACACAAGAGAACUUGAGACUCCUACAUGGACUUGAUCUUAAGACUUCCACUUAGACAUCUCAAGAGAGAAGCAAAUUACUGUUGUUUUGAACCUUCGGAAGACCAACAAAAACUGGACAUGUCUAAUUACUAGUACAAAAAAUCAUAAAGAACAUGAUGAAUAGAACUCCUACGUAAGUCGCAAGAUCAGGGCUUGGGGAGGAUGAUCAGAUCAUCUCGGAAUAUCAUGAGUAACAUCACGGAUGUAUGUCAGUGGAUUGACAGACAAUGAAUCUUCACAUCACUUCAGCCCCCCAAACUUCACAAACACAUUCAACAACUUCACGACGUGAAAUCAAAUAGCAGCAGCAGCAGAAGAAGAAACAAAAAACGUAAAUAUAUCAAAACAAUACUGAAACGAAUCCGAAGAAGAAGAAGAAAAGGCUCAGAACUUCUUAGAGGGUUUGUGUCACCGUCAGCGAUGGUUGGAUCCAUCUCCGGGGCACAAGGAUUGGGUUUCUUCAUUGCCUUUUACCAAAUAGAACAGCGACGAGGUAGAAGAAGCAACGAAAGAAAUAGAGGCAGAGAUGAAGUCCGACUUGUGAGGAAUUGGGUUGAAGUUGUUAUCGGAGAGACGGCCGCUGGUUAUGUUAUAUAGUGGUGGUGGGAGGACGAGACGAAGAAACCCUAGAUUUUGUGAUCGAAUUACGUCGAUUUGAACCGUCGAUCUUAACCAGACCUGCGAACGCCGCCACCGUGUUGAGCCUCUGCCCAUUUAGUGUUGAUCCUUAGCUUAUCAAAAAUAUUACAUAUGCCAUAUAUAUAUACAUAUAUGUAUGUAUAGCAUAUAUGUAUGUAUAUAUACAUAUAUACAUAUAUAUACAUAUAUAUAUGUAUAUACACCAACAAUUAAGAUGAAACUGUUUAGUAUUUUUCUAAUUAUUCCUGCCUUCAUCACCGGGAUGUCUUCUAAAACACAAGAAGACUAGAAGAUGAUCAAUAGAUAGGCAUUAAUCUCAGUAAAAAAAAAGAAAAUUCCAGAAAAUAAUCAAACAUGGAUUUCACCUCCAAGCUUUCUAAGAUCGAAUUUUUAGAAGUGAGAUCGUUCGAACACGAAAGAGAGAAGGAUAAUCGAACUUUCAAAUGAAUUGACGCACAGAAAAGAUCAAGAACAAAAAAGAAGAGAAGCCCUCAAAACCUGGGUAGGAAGAUUGGAGGUCGACUACACCGCCUGGCUUACUCUAUCUGCCUUGCCUUCUUCGCCUUCUUGCUGCCUUCCCGACUCUCCCCUUCCCGCUGCCAUGGCCGAUGCUCCCUCUCAGUGUGAUGAUUCCUGCCGUUCACUGGUGGUUAACAAACGCCGCGUCCCCCCAGAGCGGGAAACGCCUGUUCAACCGGCUCUUCU
rnacentral:lncRNA from 1 species